ACGUAGGGUGCAAGCGUUGACCGGAAUUAUUGGGCGUAAAGCGUGCGCAGGCGGCCUUAUAAGUCUGGAGUGAAAGUCCUGCUUUUAAGUUGGGAAUUGCUUUGGAUACUGCUUGGCUUGAGUGCAGGAGAGGGAAGUGGAAUUCCCGGUGUAGCGGUGAAAUGCGUAGAGAUGGGGAGGAACACCAGUGGCGAAGGCGACCUACUGGACUGUAACUGACGGUGAGCCGCGAAAGUGUGGGGAGCAAACAG
rnacentral:rRNA from 1 species